UGAGGAAUAUUGGUCAAUGGGCGAGAGCCUGAACCAGCCAAGUCGCGUGAAGGAAGACAGUCCUAAGGAUUGUAAACUUCUUUUAUACGGGAAUAACGGGCGAUACGAGUAUUGCAUUGAAUGUACCGUAAGAAUAAGCAUCGGCUAACUCCGUGCCAGCAGCCGCGGUAAUACGGAGGAUGCGAGCGUUAUCCGGAUUUAUUGGGUUUAAAGGGUGCGUAGGUUGUUCGGUAAGUCAGCGGUGAAACCUGAGCGCUCAACGUUCAGCCUGCCGUGGAAACUGCCGGGCUUGAGUUCAGUGGCGGCAGGCGGAAUUCGUGGUGUAGCGGUGAAAUGCAUAGAUAUCACGAGGAACUCCGAUUGCGAAGGCAGCUUGCCAUACUGCGACUGACACUGAAGCACGAAGGCGUGGGUAUCAAACAGG
rnacentral:rRNA from 1 species